rnacentral:rRNA from 1 species
AUACGGAGGAUGCGAGCGUUAUCCGGAUUUAUUGGGUUUAAAGGGUGCGUAGGCGGUAGAUUAAGUCAGCGGUGAAAGUUUGUCGCUCAACGAUAAAAUUGCCGUUGAUACUGGUUUACUUGAGUAUAGUUGAAGUAGGCUGAAUGCGUGGUGUAGCGGUGAAAUGCAUAGAUAUCACGCAGAACUCCGAUUGCGAAGGCAGCUUACUAAGUUAUAACUGACACUGAAGCACGAAAGCGUGGGUAUCAAACAGGAUUAGAUACCCUGGUAGUCCACGCAGUAAACGAUGAAUACUCGCUGUUUGCGAUAUACAGUAAGCGGCCAAGCGAAAGCGUUAAGUAUUCCACCUGGGGAGUACGCCGGCAACGGUGAAACUCAAAUGAAUUGGCGGGG